rnacentral:rRNA from 1 species
UGAACACGGAGCUUGCUCUGUGGGAUCAGUGGCGAACGGGUGAGUAACACGUGAGCAACCUGCCCCUGACUCUGGGAUAAGCGCUGGAAACGGCGUCUAAUACUGGAUAUGUGACGUGACCGCAUGGUCUGCGUCUGGAAAGAAUUUCGGUUGGGGAUGGGCUCGCGGCCUAUCAGCUUGUUGGUGAGGUAAUGGCUCACCAAGGCGUCGACGGGUAGCCGGCCUGAGAGGGUGACCGGCCACACUGGGACUGAGACACGGCCCAGACUCCUACGGGAGGCAGCAGUGGGGAAUAUUGCACAAUGGGCGCAAGCCUGAUGCAGCAACGCCGCGUGAGGGACGACGGCCUUCGGGUUGUAAACCUCUUUUAGCAGGGAAGAAGCGAAAGUGACGGUACCUGCAGAAAAAGCGCCGGCUAACUACGUGCCAGCAGCCGCGGUAAUACGUAGGGCGCAAGCGUUAUCCGGAAUUAUUGGGCGUAAAGAGCUCGUAGGCGGUUUGUCGCGUCUGCUGUGAAAUCCGGAGGCUCAACCUCCGGCCUGCAGUGGGUACGGGCAGACUAGAGUGCGGUAGGGGAGAUUGGAAUUCCUGGUGUAGCGGUGGAAUGCGCAGAUAUCAGGAGGAACACCGAUGGCGAAGGCAGAUCUCUGGGCCGUAACUGACGCUGAGGAGCGAAAGGGUGGGGAGCAAACAGGCUUAGAUACCCUGGUAGUCCACCC